GAUAACGGUGUCGUCGUUUUGCGCACAUGACAACUAUUCUGCCACAAAGAUCUUGAUUUUAUGUUACACCAAGGGCAGUUUGAUCUCACUGUUGCUCGCUGCUCCCCUGAACCCGGUUUCGGUGAAGUUAUCCAUUAGAGGGAGCUACAGAGCAAUUUAUUAGGAGAUCAGCUUUAAGGCACAGUUUUUGAACAUGUUAGGUACACAUAGGGAAUAAAAAUACAUCAACGAUAUGUUCAGAAAUGGCUCUGGGCUUUUCUCCUUUUUAUGGUGAAUUAGUUUUAGCCCUACUAGGACUGAUUUCCUCAGCCCUGUACCCAGAGUCCUCUGUUUUAAAGCACUUGUUUAUUUUCUUUGACACCCCUCCCUGCCGUGUGGUUAUCCCAUUCCCAUAGCACGUGCGUUAUUUACAAGGAUGCUGGAAAUACUUAUGUAAUCUUCAAAAAAUAAUCACUCUUUUGUUCCCUAGGUCACUACUACUCUUAUCUUGAUAAGAAAAAAAAACGCUAAGGGAAUUGCAGAGGAAGCCUGCCCUUCCCGUGGUGGUACUGAAGAGCCAGGUUGUACUCGAAACCGCCUUACGCCAGCCUGCUGUGCCAAGGACCCUUGCUGGGGAUAAGCUCCGUAAGUCCAAAGAGGAUUUAAGUACAGUCCGCAGCGGCUGGUGCACACAACAGAGAUGCAGCCUCUGGCUGACGAGAGGGUUUAAAAUCUCAGACCUGUCGACCGCCAGAAGGUGAGAGGGUAAAGCAGGGCCACCAGCACUCCCCACAAGUCCUGCUCGUACAGCGUUUGCACGGCUUCUCGCCCAAACCUCGCCCCGGGGAGGGUGGUGCGUGAUUUGUGGCCGUGCAGAAACGCACGGGAGGGAACGGGCGAGAUGGAAAAGACGCACAUGAGAAGCCAAAUUUAGACCGAGGUUAAGCUUCCCCAAGUCUGAGCAGAGAGGGGGCAACCUCCAAGCAGGGAAUCUGAACGCACGAAUCCAGGCACGGCCGGCGGUGCCGUGGGAAAUCUGCCUGCAAGGCGGCGGGACCGCCGGCCUCACUUACCCUGGUUUAGGACGUUCCCGCUUCCAGCACUGACAGCGCUUUCUUGGCUAUUUGACGGGCAGCAAGACAGCGACUGUGCUCCGAGACACUGCCUUCAGAUGCAGCCUGCUCAUCCGCAGUCAAAUUUCCCCUUGAAACCCUCAGGAAUUUUGCCGAGAGCGAGGCCAUGCACUACUUGACUUACUGAGGCAAAAGCUGUUUACAGCUAAAGAAUACAAACAAGCCCCGAAACUUCUGUCCUUCAUUAUUUUACAUUGACUCGCUGCGGUCUGGGCCAGCUCCAGCAUUUUUUCUCACUGCACUCAUUACUCCAGGCAGUGAUGAAACUGGAUAAGCCAAAUGGCCAGCUUGGCCUUGACAUAGUCAUAAUGUCGUUGAAAGUAGGGGGAAACACAAAUGUACUGCCUCGGCCGUGGGAGUCUGAGACCUUCCUGCUUCAUUUACAGUAAAAAUCAGUCAGAAAUCCUUAAUUCCCUCACUUUCAGACUUCUCUGGUACACACACACACUAAGGCGUUGCACAAAAUAUCAGGAGAAAGAAGCCGGAAGACUUUCAUAAUUUGAUCUUUCAAACCUGUCAGUGAGAAAUGCUUUGAAAUUUAACUUCCCACCAAAGAAACCCAGGUAAAGCUGUAGGGACAUUUUAAUUGUAUUAAAAAUGGUCACCAAAGACGGUCACAUCACUUGGAAGCAAAUGCUGCUAUUGAGAAGUGAUCUGCUGCUGCAAGAUAAAGUGACAAAGUAAGUGGGAUAAAUGAUCUUAGGUGGGACCGCUGGCAUAGCCUUCAUUGUGUUUUUGAAGCAGCAAGGAAGGAUUCAAAUACCAAUGCAUUUACAACAGAACUGGACUAAUUUCUCUACUCUGGUUUAUGUCGGCACAUUUACGUCCAAAUAGCUGAAGCGAAGAUUCCAGUUCUGCUGAUAACUAACCCAGAAAAUCAAACCCCCGCCGCUGGCUGCCGCAGCAUAGCUUACAUUGUUUUGCAGCAGCUGCAGGAUGCAUUCUUUACACUUAAUAUAAACAAACAGAUAGGAUCCCGGCGUAGGGGAGGGCUCCCGGGAUGCGAGGGCAGCUCGGUGCCGCAGACCCGCGGCUCCCCGGCUGAGAGAGAGCGAGCGCUGGAGCCUUUGGUGGCUGUUGGCCUGGGCUGCCUCCCAUCUAGAUUUCUUAAAACUGGCUAUUUUAUUGUUUGGAGAUAAACUGGUUGCUGAUUAGAUGCAAGUGGGUUUGUUUAAUUAAAAAAAAAAUAAAAGGCCGGCUAAUUGAGUUAAAGCUAUGUGGUUUAUGGGAGAAAAUGCCAAAGUUAAUUACGGUUACCAUCUGUUUCACCAAAAUACUCGUUCGCUUUGAAUACCUCUAUUGUCAGGGCUGGUUUUAAGAUCUUUCUCAAAUUUAGUCCAGUGAGGAGGUACUGUAAAAUGAAAUUAAACUGUUCCCCAUAAUCUCUGGCAGACAACAGAGUGGUGGCAUCUGCAGUGACCUUAUGGUGCGAUUUCUUUUAAAGAAAAUAUUGCUGUGGCUUUAAUCACUGCAAGCUUAGCUCUGUGUGCAGGAAGCUUGCGUGAUUUUUUUCGGGGAUUUAUUCAAGGAGGUCUUCGUGUAUGUGUUUCUGUAUGAGGCAAAUUGCAAACAUGAAUGGCAUUCUUUUCCCCAGUGCCUCCUUUCCACUACCUGACCAUGGUUUAAUUCCUGCGAUAUUAAUUCUCAAAAAACCCAUGAAGAAUUCACCUCUCCCCGUGGUACUCAGGCACACAUACACAUGUACAUGCACACACCUUGCUCUUAAGAGCUAUGUCACGAUAUAUGAGUUAGCUAUCUUGAGCGUCUCUUAAUACACUUGUACGGCACAGCCCGGAGGAACCGAGUGACUGGACAUAGCACGAGGUUUUACCCCUUGGACUUGGUUGCAGCAUGGGACCAUUUGUCGCAGGCUCCUGCUGCACCGCCGGGCUGCCCGCGCUCACUGGGAGAUGCUGGCACAAAUACCGGUUCCUGCCUCGUUUCCAGGGGGUUGUGAGGUAUUUGAAAUUAAUGUUAUGUAUUGCUAUCGGUAAGUAGAAGAGGUCAGACUAGUGCUCAGGUGAUAGAAGCAAGGUGGCUGUGAAGCUGGCGUCAGGAAAACAAGCCCCAGUAACUUCUUUUGACAGGCCAGCUGUGUUAUGAUAUACACAUUCUCCAAAACAUUCAAAUGAGGCGGUCUCGCUGACUGAAUGUUUGUAAUUCCAAGGCUGAAAGGAACAUAUGAAUUCAUGUGUACUGAAUCCUGUGAAUUCAAGGAAAAUUCAAUGGAGAUUUAAUCUGCUUCUGGAAGGAAAAAUUCUUCGCUCUGCCUACUUCAAAGAGAAACAAAAACAUCCUUUAUUCUUCUUAGUGAGAGGACUGUACUGUUACCACUCAACAUAGUGAAAUAACGACUCCUUGAAAAUCUUGCUCUUACAUCUUGGAUAAAUACUCGCCUAAUGGGAGUGAUAAAGUAUUAGGCAAUAAGAUUAGAAAGAGAGAUUGUUCCUGAAUCAGUCCAUUAGGAUUAACCAGGCUUUGUUCCAUGGCAACUUAGCUAAGAAUAAUCAUGACUGCAAAUAGUGCUGUUCCAGUUUCUUGGGUGGAGCACAGGGUAAAAUUGCUGGUCUCCAAAUGCAAUUGUUAAUGUGUUUGGCGGUUCUUAAAUGUCACUGUGGCUGUUCUUCAGUUCAGUUAGAGUUGUUGUUUUUGCCAUCAUAUGUGAUGCGUAAGGAGUUCAAAACCCUGCAGCCAGAGUGGAUGAUGGCAAAUUCACAAAAAUUACAGCAUCUUUACAACACAAUAUUCGUACCAGCCGCAUUUACCACGUGGUGCUCAAACUCUUCAAACUUACAGUAUCAUUGAAGGGUCUCAAGCCCUGUUUGUUGAACAGCCGUCAACUCUUGUUCAGAGGAGAAAAUUAUUUUCUCAGGAGACUUUCUAUGUGGCUCGUAUCGACAACUAUCUGAUGGCUUAUGCAAGCCAUGAGGGGUGGCAUCAUCUCCGCAGGAGCUAAGAUCCCUGUCAGAAGUGUCCGUGUUGUGUGUGUUAAUUAUUUUGGAUGUCCUACUUUUGAGAUGGUACGGACCCAGCAUUUGGGAGCAUUUGGCAUGAUUUGGCACUUUCUCAAAUCAAAGCCAGUAUCCCAAGGUAAGCCCGGUGGGAAGGUUCUUUCUCAAAUUCUUUCUGGGACAGAAAACACAGCAGAGAAAGGUUUCCUAGUCUCAGUUCCUCUGCCUGUACCCGGGAUGGUCAAGAAAGUGAAGGAGCUGCACUUAUAGAGAAG